GAUGAAGAACGUAGCGAAAUGCGAUACGUAAUGUGAAUUGCAGAUUUCAGUGAAUCAUCGAAUCUUUGAACGCACAUUGCGCCCGCCAGUAUUCUGGCGGGCAUGCCUGUUCGAGCGUCAUUUCAACCAUCAAGCGCCUCGCUUGUGUUGGGGCCCUGCGGCUGCCGCAGGCCCCUAAAUCCAGUGGCGGGCUCGUCGUCGUACCGAGUGCAGUAAACAUCCUCGCUCAGGAAACCCGACGGGUGCCGGCCGUGAAACCCCCCCUCCUCAAGGUUGACCUCGGAUCAGGUAGGAAUACCCGCUGAACUUAAGCAUAUCAAUAAGCGGAGGA
rnacentral:misc_RNA from 1 species